rnacentral:lncRNA from 1 species
GCGGGCAUUUCGUCGAACACGCGGGGGGCGUUGGAGGUCAGCAAUGGAUAAAAAAAUCAACAAACAAUGGAUCAGCAAAACUUGAUUUUAGCAUGGGGCCUACCCAUUUAUGUUCAACGUAACACGAAGGUCAGCAAGUUUCGACCAUCAAUGAAGAACACAAACGCGUGCCUAUCUUAAAUGUUUCGUCGAACACAUAAGGUGCAUCAGCAGGUGGGGGAGAAACGUUAACCUAUUUGGGACUUGAUUUCACGCUCAGGUUGGCAGCAAACCACUAGCAAAAACCAAGAAUAGCAGCACAUGCACAAGGAAGGUUGGAAACUCGCGCGAGCCGGACAACGGUUGCCCCGUCCGGCAAACCCGAAACAGAACGCGAGGAGAAAGGAGCAGGGGCUGUUGGUGGCGUUCCCUACCUCGCUCGGCGGCGUCGGACGGAGGACGAGCUCGAUAGAUCGGGCUACGUCCGUCCACCUCGCUCGUCUCCGGGCCGGGAUCCUCGGGAAACUGGUUCCCAAAAAUAGAACAAAUCGAAAACCGACGAAACUCGGGGCCGGAACGUACCGAGGCUCGGUUGCUCUCUGCUUUCCCGCUUCAAAUCUCGCCCAGAUCUGAUCGAACGACUUCAGAUCUGGGCUUCCUCAG